UACGUAGGGGGCGAGCGUUGUCCAGAGUUACUGGGCGUAAAGAGCGUGUAGGCGGUUGAAAAAGUCAGGUGUGAAAUUCUUCGGCUCAACCGAGGGGCUGCGCUUGAAACUUUUCGACUGGAGUUUGGGAGGGGCAACCGGAAUUCCUGGUGUAACGGUGAAAUGUGUAGAUAUCAGGAGGAACACCCGUGGCGAAGGCGGGUUGCUGGACCAAAACUGACGCUGAGACGCGAAAGCGUGGGUAGCAAACAGGAUUAGAUACCCUGGUAGUCCCUGAGCGGGCUGGCAA
rnacentral:rRNA from 1 species